CAAACCAGGAGGGCAGCUCUCCUCUCGCAGGGCACCUUCCGGUUUCCGCUUGGCGCCAUUUGCACCUGUCAUCACGCGUCUGGAUCCGUGGGAGACUGGUUUCUGCUGCUAGACUGCAAGAUGGGGGUGUAUUCUGCUUGGGAGAGGCCGGAGGCACGGUUUCCACCCCUGCCUUCUCUUCUGGGACAGCAUGCUUUAUCUCUAUGCCAGAGCGAAGAAGCAUCCCUUUGUAAUACCUCCCUGAGAGGUAAAAAUGUAGACAGAAGAUCCUAUCUUGGGCGCCGAGGCAAGAAGUAAAGAAGGAGAAAGAUGCCUCCUCUCACCCCUGCUGCAAACCGUGCGGAAAACAGGGUGUUUGGGGGCCUCGGCCCUGAAGUUUUUGGGUGAAAAGGAGGCCAGUGUCACUGGCAGGACUAUAUUCAGCAGGAGAACAUAAAACCACCCACAUCGCUACAAGUGAGAGCUAAUUUCUAAUUAACUUCUUGCUUGUAUUUAUUUUCAUUUCCUCGUAUGAUGUUACUUUUGAUAGAUAAAUAUAAUAAAAGUGAUCAUACAUA